CCUUAUGCAAAUGAGUUUUGAUUCUCUUCCCUUUACAAAGUUAAAAUGUGUUUGAGAGUGAAACAGAUCCUUCGGAAUGUGGAUAUUUGAGAUUUUUACCUGGGACAUCUUUUUCUUUCUUUCUUUUCUUUCUUUCGUUCUUUCUUUCUUUCUUGUCAGGCUAUGUUGUACAGCACAGAGUGGAGUGGUGUCAAAUAGAAAAUAAGAAAUGCACUGAAGAGGAGGAAAGAAAAUGAAAGCGAAAAAGCUGAAGAGUGGGGAAAAGAUAAAGUAAUAUGAAUAUUAGGAUUCCACUCCCUUGGAAGAUUGCCAGGCAGCAGAGAGAGAAAACAGGAGUGAGAAAUACUACCGUGCAUCAGAACAUCCUUAAAAUGAACAUCAUGUAUUCUCAGCUUUGAGAACUGAAUUCCAUGGGUUGUAAUUGAAUCUCUGUCAGACCCAUGGGGCUCAGUUCUUCAGCUUGGAUAUCUGUGUCUUCAUAUACACAGGAAAUCAAAGAAUCACUUGAUCAUUCAUUGACUCUUCUGGAUGGCAAUAGCAGAAAAUGGGAAAGAAAAAGAAUAAAUGAUGUGACACUUUUU